rnacentral:piRNA from 1 species
GAGGGUGAAUACCUAGUUUGUUUGGUGGG